GAUAGAACAAUAUUCCCAAUAGAUGAAAUUUUAGUGGGAGCCCCAUUUCCCAUUAAAACAUUUCCCAUUAAAAGAGAAAAUGUAACUAUAUAUGGAGUGGAGGCAUUUAAAUCAGACGUUUUCUGACAUACAUGAUGAGUGCCCCCUGAAUUUGGAUACCAUGAUGAGGUUCCUAUCGGCACAGGAACACAUGAGUUAGUAUUAUCAAAGUUGGAAUCAUACUGUGUGGCAUCCAAAAUAUGAGACGCAUGAAAAUCAGGGAUUUGG
rnacentral:lncRNA from 1 species